rnacentral:tRNA from 1 species
GGCCUCGUAGCUCAGUUGGGUAGAGCGUUGGCUGCACUGAAGUCUUUACCUUGCUGGCGAGGGUUCGUAUUCCACCGAGGUCG